AGAUGAAUGUGGUGGGGGCGGGGAGCGUGAGGUGGGAGUGGGGGACGCAUUUGGAGUUAAACGGUCCCACCAGAGGGAGUCAGGCAUAUUUUGAAGCACAAGGAAAGAGCCUGCUUUGUGCAGGGUGCCACAUGGAGUGCAGUCCACAGGGGGAGAGCCCACCUGUAUUCAAGAGGGAGAAGAACAUGGAAACUGACAGCAGGCCUGAUGAAGAACGGAAUGUGGCAAGCACAGCAGGAUUCGAUCAGGGAGGAAAGAAGGCUCAGAGAAAUGUCCGAGUGUAGGGAGACAGGGGGCCGUAUUCCGAGACAGACGCCUGACGUGUGCACCGCACCUUUAAAAAUCUACAGCACCCUAAGGAGGAGCCAUUAUGAUCCUAUUCAACAAAUCAGGACACCCAGGCUUAUCGAGGUUAACACGCCAAGGUCACACCACAAGCAUGGAGCCGGCUGCUGCUGCCCCCAGUCGUCCCCCUACCUCCACAUGGGCCUUGCCCCAUCAACCAACAGCUCACCAACCCAGUGCUGCAUCGCUGCAAAGAAGGCCGCUGUGCGUGGGCACCAUCUCCUGGUCGGCACCUACGUCCAGGAGACCAUGGGUAUCAAACACUCCCUGCGUUGUGCCCACGACAUAUUAAAAUAUUAACACAUAACUAUUAACAUUGAAAACGCUUAUCUGGAGACAUCCAAAGUCACCUUGGAUACCACAGGGGGUACAUAUGUCGCACAAGGGGAGCCACUGCAUCUUCCCAUGCUGAUCUUGAAAGAUGAGGAGUGUGGUUCACGGAGAAUCUGAAUUCACUCGAAUGUCACCCUACGUUGGUCAGCGUUAUUUUGUGUGGACACGGGCUUUUUGAUCGUUAUUCUGGCCACUAAGUGGAAUCCUAGGGUGCCUGCAGUGCACCUGGAUGGAAAGCAGUGAAUGUGAAUCCAAGACUGGUGGCCCGGCAAAGUCCCAGGGUCUGCCUGGCUCUCAGCCACUGCAGGCAGAGCUCCACCCCAGGGACGCGCUACUUCCCUGCCACUGCAGCAACACACUGCAACCACCAGAGGGCAGUAACACAAACUAGAUUUUUUUUCACUUGGACCCUAAUCUGAACACAUACAGUUUAAUAAUAUGUAAAGCCCAUUAUUACAAGCUUUUUUUCUCCCCACCCCCUAUUAAUGAACAAAUACCCAGGGGUAAUGCGGGUAUUUCUAAAUACAGUCAAGAAAGAGCAAUUCGUACUCAUACAUGAGGAGUCUAACACACAGUAAUAAGUGGAAAUGAAAAUAAUCACCCUGUGCAACUAAACCAUUAAGGCCAAAGAUUUAUCUGUCUAUAUGGCUGCACACACAGAGAUACAGAUGCCUGCCUCUCAGAAAUGGGCAUUUUAAAAACAUUCAUUUCACACAUUCUUGUUUAGGGUUCAUAAUAAUACCUGUGAUGAUAACCCCAAAGCUACAAGAGGGGUGUAAGAGGAAUUUCAUCUUUAUUCCCGGGCAGACAAAGGGGACUUUUCUCUUUGAUUAAGGGUGCUUCGAUGCAAAUAUUCAUAAGUGAUUUCUGGUGUUGGUGAAAGCAGAAUCUUUCAGUGCUGUUGCUGGUUUUCACAUCGGAGCACAGAGAAUGCAAGAGAUCAAGAAGGGGUAUGUCUAGAAUGCAACCUAUCCAUUUCUUCAUGAACAAAGAAACGGGAAUCAGCCUGCCAUCUUCUCUGUUCCCGACAGAAAGGAAGGUUCUCUGAUCCUAAAUUUCUGCAAUGGUUUGAAAUCUCAGGGCCCCUGGAAAAGCAGGAUGAAGUCAUUGCCAGUAGCCUUGUCUCUGGAGUCAGCCCAUUAAAACCGUGAUAUGUGUAAAAUGCUUGACAGAUUACCAAGUACAGUGUGUGAGGAAAGCAUGUGGAAUUCAGAGUCAGGUGGCUCUCACUAUAUGUAUUCCCUGGGUCAUCUUGGAAAUGUGAAUGAAGCCCUUUAAGCUUCGGUUCCUUUCUAAGGCAGGUAGGAGGGCAGAUCCUGAACCACCUCCCUGUGUGGGGUGAGGGUUACCACUCAUAUGAUGUGGGACAAAGCACAAGAAACUGUUACAAUUUAUAAAAACUUUUGCUGUUCUCAUCUUCCCACUUUAUAGGCAAGGAAGUAGAGCUGUAAGGGCUCACCCAAGGGCAGGGUCAGUAAGGGCAGAGCAGGACCCCAGCCAGGUGCCCUCACCCACCGCCGAGGGUCUCCACCCUUUCCUGGCAUCUCAGUAAGCUCUGCCUGCCACAACGUACUACAGACCGGGUGGCUUUAAAAAGGACAAUUAUUUAUCCCAGUUCUGGAGGCAGGGAGGUGCCAGCAGGAUAGGUUUCAUUGUG